rnacentral:rRNA from 1 species
UGGGGAAUUUUGCGCAAUGGGCGAAAGCCUGACGCAGCAACGCCGCGUGGAGGAUGAAGGUCUUCGGAUUGUAAACUCCUGUCCCCGGGGAAAAAGAAAGUGAUGGUACCCGGGGAGGAAGCCCCGGCUAACUCCGUGCCAGCAGCCGCGGUAAUACGGGGGGGGCGAGCGUUGUUCGGAAUUACUGGGCGUAAAGGGCGCGUAGGCGGCCUGGGAAGUCUUGGGUGAAAGCCCCCGGCUCAACCGGGGAAGGGCCUGAGAAACCACUGGGCUGGAGUGCUGGAGAGGGAAGCGGAAUUCCUGGUGUAGCGGUGAAAUGCGUAGAGAUCAGGAGGAACAUCGGUGGCGAAGGCGGCUUCCUGGACAGACACUGACGCUGAGGCGCGAAAGCUAGGGGAGCAAACAGGAUUAGAUACCCUGGUAGUCCUAGCUGUAAACGAUGACGACUUGGUGUGGGGGGUAUGAAAGUCCCUCCGUGCCGGCGACAACUCGUUAAGUCGUCCGCCGU